GAGCGAAAUUAAGCUGCACCUUUAAAGCGCGUUCACUCCAGUUAUUCGGCUCCCACUCCGUCGACGGUCUGGCCCAGUUACUCCCCAGCUUGUGUAUAGGUUUCCCCCCUCCGUUACUGCCUCCUUUUCACGACCCGCACCAGACGCUAAACUCGUACCCAGUGAGUCUACAGGCCUCGACGUGUCGUCCAAUGUCGCGAUCCCCUCUUGGCUCCUGCCCUCGUGGAUUUUGAUCUCGCUUGUUUGCAUUGCGGGUUUUUUUUUUUUUUGCGGUGUUCAGACUGGGUAGGAAACAGUCGCACGGCAUUUUUAACAACCAACACCUGCUUCACCACGUUUAGGGACCCCAGGCAAACAGGAACUGACAUGCAAGGCAACCAGCUCACCGGAAACCUUGCAUAUGAUAGACUAGGCUCCAGACCCCCCGCGACCCAUCCCGGAAGCAAUGGGCACGAGGCACGGAACAACCCAGGAUGGGGGGCCAGCCCAUCGCACGCCAUGGUCAGACGGGCAGCCCUGGUGUGAAACGCCGACCGCUAUAGCGUAAGAAAAGUGCAGCGUUACCAGGAUUGGGCUCCGGUCACCGGAACUGACUGCUGAUCAGAUUUUAUUCUCACUUAUCAUCUGCUGCAAUGAUCUAUACCUGAGAAGAAACUGACAUACAAACUGUACAUUAAACAAACUAAAUCCAA